GGCCCCUUGGUCAAGCGGUCUAAGACAUCGCCCUUUCACGGCGAGAACAUGGGUUCAAAUCCCGUAGGGGUCACCA
rnacentral:tRNA from 6 species